CUGGCUGGUUAGUACGCAUGCUCAGUUUCAGCGGUGCUUCACUUGUGCGUGUCAACAACCGGCGUGAACAGGGCAGGACUAGAGGAAGCAAGUGACACGGGUUGGAUUUUGUGCGUGAUUUUGAAGACUGUGCUGGUGAAGCGAAUGCCCCUAUCGUCCUAGCUGUAUAAGUUUGAGUUUCGUGAAGUGUUUGCGUGACAGAAUGCGCACAUGACUUAAGGAAGUGUACGGUUUUGAAGAGAGUGGAAAAUGCCGCAUAUUUGACUAUGUCGUGGCUAGCACAGAAGAGCAAUAAGUAACGCCUUGCCUUAGUAGUCUGUAUUAAUUGGUGGGACUCAUGCUGGUAAUUGCAUGGAACUGUACCUCAACCACACAGCGCGCAACAUUUACCUGUACAAAUGAAUUUUACUUCGAUUUCUGGGAGGAACCAGUCUUGAAGGCCGUCCUUUGAUACCGUACCUGAUGUUAGUAAGACUGAGAUCAAACAAUCUUGCGGUGGCUGUCGCUGAAGACUCAUCGAAAGAAGCUGUCCACCACCUCAUACGACGGGUCACUCGAUCGUUACUACCGCCACCCUAUGCUGCUGUCAGUAUGAGCGCUGCGGGGAGUGUCAUCGAACAUCCAACCGGCAACACGCUCUACCGCCCUCUCCAUCGGCAACCGGACAUGUACACCUAACGUAAUCCAACCUAGGUAUUAGUGUCACCGGAGGGCCUAUUCCGAGCUUCCGCGUAUUCUCCAAAAGAACAACAACAGUAAUUAAAUUAUAAAUGGGCCCUAAAUAUAAUAAAAAGCCUUGAAAUGGGUCUCAUCAUCUUGUAAUAAAGUUGUUGUUUUUUAAGAAAAAUAAAUGAAAUUAAUGAAAUG